UUUCAAGUUAUGAACUCCUACAGAAUUUGCUAUAAGUCUACAAAAUAUAAUAUCCUACAUAGUAGUUUGAAGAAAACAUAAAUGAGGUAAGAUAAGGGAGUCAAGGGGCUGCGGACGUCAACAGCUACCUCGAAACUCCAAAUCGCUGCCUGGUCUGGAAGGAAUCAACGCUUAGGUGCGGACUCUACUAUGCCUGAAUCUGCACACAUGAUGCAGGGAGUAAUGUGAGUACUCCGACCCAGUGAGUAAUAAAUAAUAACCUAAGGCAUGAAAACACAUAAAUUAACAAGACAAUUCUAUACCAGGCAGUAAAUCACUUAAAGCAAUAAAACUGUAAAGAAUCAAAUGAAAUCUCCUUUUUUAAAAUAGGUAAAUCAGGUAAAACAACAAGUAAACAGUGAGUAGUAAUCUGCCUCUCGAGCCCAGUAUCACUCACUCAACAUAGUAUCAGACCUCAGUCGCUCAACAUAGUGACAUAUUGACAUUAAUAGAAGUUGACUAUAUAUGUCAAGGCCUCACUCUUUUAAGCGAAGUAGGAAAGAAGGUAGGUAACUCCAGCAAUUUAUAAUCGAAGAACAGAAGAAAAAAGCAGAAAGUUUUAUAGAGAUGUCUAUGGGCACAACUACAGAAGAUUGUGAUUCCUUUAUUUCUAAUACUGAUAGAAUCAUCUGCGGUAGUGUAGACGACCGCCAGGAGCAGCAGUCGAAGCAACAGAUUUUGAUUGCUGCUGCUGAUGGUCGUACUGAUGGUUUGAUUAUAUCAUCAGGUGCAUCUUCUAGGAUGCAGUUUAAUGCUUAUUGCAAUAACUGUAACCGGGAUGGUUUUGAACUUUGUUUAGGUUUGAAUAUUGGUGGUGGGGAAGUGAACAAAGGAGCAAGCAUUAGCUCGUCUGUCCAAACCUUGAUGGCAGUACAAGGGAGAACCCGAAGUGUAAACACAUGUUAUUCACAUAAUAAUAAGAACAACUACAGCAAGUCAAAGGUCCACGAGUGUUCAAUUUGUGGGCUAGAGUUCUCAUUAGGUCAAGCGACCACGUUCGAUUAAAGCAACAAACACUAAGGUUUCCUUGACUACUGUUGAUGAGAUUCAGGAGGAGUCGAGAAGCAUUCCGUUGCUGCUUGAUCUUAACUGGCCGCCGCCGCGGGAUAGAUGGGAUCCUAUACCUUUAACUAGAGGACUUCGAUUCGAGCUGGAAGAACAAUAAAUUCUCAAUAUGGAGGCUUCCCCUUUAAUGAUUUCUAAUCUGUAUUAAUGGGACCUAUAUUUCAGGUAUCAGAUAAUUUUAGAAAGAAAAAAACGAAAAAAGAAAAUUGUCGGCGCCACCCAAAGGUGAUCGCCGAGGUUAUAGUAUACCAAGUUUGAUUUGUCAGACUUUCACCAAUGUCUCGUCUUUCCCGCAGCUACUUUGAUGGGCUGUAAUUAC
rnacentral:lncRNA from 1 species